GACGAACGCUGGCGGCGUGCUUAACACAUGCAAGUCGAACGGGUCUGCCCUGUUUUUUGCGGGGUGGGUCAGUGGCGAACGGGUGAGUAACACGUGAGUAACCUGCCCCUCACUUCUGGAUAACCGCUUGAAAGGGUGGCUAAUACGGGGUGUUCUGGCUGUGCCGCAUGGUGUGGCUGGGAAAGAUUCACUUUUGUGGUGUUUUGGUGGGGGAUGGGCUCGCGGCCUAUCAGCUUGUUGGUGGGGUGAUGGCCUGCCAAGGCUUUGACGGGUAGCCGGCCUGGGGGGGGGGGGGGGCACCCGGGGACUGGGAUCCGCCCCAGACUCCUGGGGGGGGCAGCGGGGGGGGGUAUUGCACAAGGGGGGGAAGCCUGAUGCGGCGACGUCGGGGGGGGGAUGGGGGCCUUCGGGUUGUGACCCUUUUUCCCCGGUGAAAAAGGUCCUGCUUGUGGGGGGGGGGUUGCCGGUGGCGGGGUUAGGAAGCCCCGGCUAACUACG
rnacentral:rRNA from 1 species